ACGCUGGCGGCGUGCCUAACACAUGCAAGUCAACUUGACUGAAGGAGCAAUCUGACAGUAGAGUGGCGCAAGGGUGCGUAACGACGUAAGUAACUUGCCCCAAGGUAAGGAAUAACGUCGAGAAAUCGGCGCUAAUACCUCAUAAUGCAGCGGAUCCGCAUGGAUAUGUUGUUAAAGGUUUACCGCCUUGGGAUAGGCUUGCGUCUGAUUAGCUAGUUGGUGUGGUAACGGCACACCAAGGCUACGAUCAGUAACUGGUCUGAGAGGAUGAUCAGUCACACUGGAACUGAGACACGGUCCAGACUCCUACGGGAGGCAGCAGUGAGGAAUAUUGGGCAAUGCUCGAAAGAGUGACCCAGCAACGCCGCGUGGAGGAUGAAGGUAUUCUAUAUCGUAAACUCCUGUGAGAGCAGACGAAAGACAGAUUAUUAAUCUGGAUGACUGUAUGCUCAGAGGAAGCCCCGGCUAACUACGUG
rnacentral:rRNA from 1 species